rnacentral:rRNA from 1 species
UGGGGAAUAUUGGACAAUGGGCGCAAGCCUGAUCCAGCCAUGCCGCGUGAGUGAUGAAGGCCUUAGGGUUGUAAAGCUCUUUUGUCCGGGAAGAUAAUGACUGUACCGGAAGAAUAAGCCCCGGCUAACUUCGUGCCAGCAGCCGCGGUAAUACGAAGGGGGCUAGCGUUGCUCGGAAUCACUGGGCGUAAAGCGCACGUAGGCGGACUCUUAAGUCGGGGGUGAAAGCCCAGGGCCCAACCCUGGAACUGCCUUCGAUACUGGGAGUCUUGAGUAUGGUAGAGGUUGGUGGAACUGCGAGUGUAGAGGUGAAAUUGUAGAUAUUCGCAAGACACCAGUGGCGAAGGCGGCCAACUGGACCAUUACUGACGCUGAGGUGCGAAAGCGUGGGGAGCAAACAGG